UACAGGGGGGGCAAGCGUUGUUCGGAAUUACUGGGCGUAAAGGGCUCGUAGGCGGCCAACUAAGCCAGACGUGAAAUCCCUCGGCUUAACCGGGGAACUGCGUCUGAUACUGGAUGGCUUGAGAUUGGGAGAGGGAUGCGGAAUUCCAGGUGUAGCGGUGAAAUGCGUAGAUAUCUGGAGGAACACCGGUGGCGAAGGCGGCAUCCUGGACCAACACUGACGCUGAGGAGCGAAAGCCAGGGGAGCAAACGGG
rnacentral:rRNA from 1 species